rnacentral:rRNA from 1 species
ACGAACGCUGGCGGCGUGCUUAACACAUGCAAGUCGAACGGAAAGGCCCUGCUUUUGUGGGGUGCUCGAGUGGCGAACGGGUGAGUAACACGUGAGUAACCUGCCCUUGACUUUGGGAUAACUUCAGGAAACUGGGGCUAAUACUGGAUAGGAGCUCCUGCUGCAUGGUGGGGGUUGGAAAGUUUCGGCGGUUGGGGAUGGACUCGCGGCUUAUCAGCUUGUUGGUGGGGUAGUGGCUUACCAAGGCUUUGACGGGUAGCCGGCCUGAGAGGGUGACCGGCCACAUUGGGACUGAGAUACGGCCCAGACUCCGACUGGAGGCAGCAGUGGGGAAUAUUGCACAAUGGGCGGAAGCCUGAUGCAGCAACGCCGCGUGCGGGAUGACGGCCUUCGGGUUGUAAACCGCUUUCGCCUGUGACGAAGCGUGAGUGACGGUAAUGGGUAAAGAAGCACCGGCUAACUACGUU